GCCAGUGCGGCGUAGUGGUUUUAGUGUUGGAUUAUGACUCUGGAGACCAGGGUUCAAUUCUCUGCUUCACCA